GGGGGGGGGGGGGGGGGGGCGGGGGGGAGGCGGGGCGGGCGGGGGGGGCGGGGGGGGGGGGGGUGCGGGGGGGGCGGGGGGGGGAGUGGCACGGGAGGGACCGGCCCGUGACUGUGGGAGAACGUCCGGAAACGGGGGCUAAUACCGGAGCGGAGCUCCUGCGGCAGGGUGGGGGGUGGAACGUUUCGGCGGUGGGGGAUGGCCUCGCGGCGUAUCGGCUUGUUGGUGGGGUAGUGGCUUACCAAGGCUUUGACGGGUAGCCGGCCUGAGAGGGUGACCGGCCACAUUGGGACUGAGAUACGGCCCAGACUCCUACGGGAGGCAGCAGUGGGGAAUAUUGCACAAUGGGCGGAAGCCUGAUGCAGCAACGCCGCGUGCGGGAUGACGGCCUUCGGGUUGUAAACCGCUUUCGCCUGUGACGAAGCGUGAGUGACGGUAAUGGGUAAAGAAGCACCGGCUAACUACGUG
rnacentral:rRNA from 1 species